GACCGUGUGCCCGAGUGGUUCAGGGGCUCGCCUGCAAAGCGAGUGACGUCGGUUCGAAUCCGAUCACGGUCUC
rnacentral:tRNA from 1 species